UACGGAGGGUGCGAGCGUUAAUCGGAAUUACUGGGCGUAAAGCGUACGCAGGCGGCUUUGCAAGUCGGGUGUGAAAGCCCUGAGCUUAACUCAGGAACUGCAUUCGAUACUGCAUCGCUAGAGUUUAUUAGAGGAUAGUGGAAUUUCAAGUGUAGCGGUGAAAUGCGUAGAUAUUUGAAGGAACACCAAUGGCGAAGGCAGCUUACUGGACAACAACUGACGCUGAGGCACGAAAGCGUGGGUAGCGAAAGGG
rnacentral:rRNA from 1 species